rnacentral:rRNA from 1 species
AUUGAUCGCUGGCGGCAGGCCUAACACAUGCAAGUCGAACGAGUGGCGGACGGGUGAGUAAUGUCUGGGCACCUGCCUGAUGGAGGGGGAUAACUACUGGAAACGGUAGCUAAUACCGCAUACCAUCGGAUGUGCCCAGAUGGGAUUAGCUAGUAGGUGGGGUAAAGGCUCACCUAGGCGACGAUCCCUAGCUGGUCCGAGAGGAUGAGCAGCAAAACUGGAACUUGGACACGGCCCAGACUCCUACGGGAGGCAGCAGGAGGGAAUAAUGCACAAUGGGCGCAAGCCUGAUGUAGACAUGCCGCGUGUAUGAAGAAGGUCUUCGGAUUGUAAAGCACUUUAAGUUGGGAGGCGUUACCAACAGAAUAAGCACCGGCUAACUGCGUGCCAGCAGCCGCGGUAAUUC